rnacentral:tRNA from 1 species
GGGGAUUUAGCUCAGUGGUAGAGCGCUUGCAUAGCAAGCACAAAACCCUGGGUUCGGUCCCCAGCUCCG